rnacentral:rRNA from 1 species
UGCCAGCCGCCGCGGUAAUACGGAGGGUGCAAGCGUUAAUCGGAAUUACUGGGCGUAAAGCGUACGUAGGAUGUAAUGCAAGUCGGAUGUGAAAUCCCCGGGCUUAACCUGGGAACUGCAUUCGAAACUACAUUACUAGAGUGUAGUAGAGGUAAGCGGAAUUUCGGGUGUAGCGGUGAAAUGCGUAGAUAUCCGAAAGAACAUCAGUGGCGAAGGCGGCUUACUGGACUAACACUGACUCUGAGGUACGAAAGCGUGGGUAGCAAACAGGAUUAGAUA